AGAAAGACUUUAUUUACAUCUAUAACUUUCAUUUAAUGUCACAACUAUUAAUGUAAGUCUCAGUACCAUAAAUAUACAUUAUCCAAAUAUUUCAAGAUAGCUACAUGAUCUACCUUAUUCAGACCAAGGAUAUCUUCAUCCUCUCAAAGGAAAGGAGACUGAAAAUUGGGGACAGGCUCUUAUGAGUUUCCUAACUUCAUGGGAAGCCAAGGCAGGUAAAGCAUCUUAAUAAAGUGCUGUCGACUUAGUGCAAAAAAAAAAAAAAAUACCCCACAGAAAAUGCACAAUUUACAGCCAAUGAUAAUACAUACAAUGGAUUGCUGUUUUUAGAUAAAACUGGGGGGUCUUAAUUCAUGAAAGUUUCAUCUGUAUUAUUCUAAUAUUCUGGAUGUUCACCAGACUGCCUUAAACAGUCAAAGUAAAAGAACUAAUCUUAUUGUGAUCCUGCACUGAGGGAAUAAAUUUAAAUUGGGCAUUGUAGGCAUCAUUUCAGUAAUACAAUUUCAAUUUUAAUUAAUCUAAUUCAUGUUCUUUUCAUAUCAUCUGUCUACAUGAAAUAGGAGAAUUCAGCUGACAAUAAAGUUAAUAAAAGUUUCAAACAUUUUUAAUAGUACAAGGGAACAAAACAUUCAACCUUGAUGAGAAAAACACUUUUAACAGCUAACUGUAGUAGAAAUGUACCUAACCAUCCUCCUGAAAAGCAGCAGAUGUGAUGUGGUUAAGCACAGCCUCUGGAAUCAACCUGCCUGGAAAUGGCUCGGCUCAUUAUUAACUUGUUUAAAAUGGUCAAGUUACACCACCUCUCUUUGCCUUCCUUAGUUAUGGAGAUAGUAGUACCUACCUCACAGGGCUGUUGUGAGGAGUAAAUAACCAAUUCAAAUUAUGUUUCCAGACAUAAACAAAAACUCAAAUUAUGUUUCCAGAACAUAUAGUACAAGAAGCUGCUUCUAGUCCACACUAAUCUCAUUUUAAAGAAAAUUGUAUUUGUGGUAGAACAUUCAACAUAAAACUGUUCUAAGUGAACAGUUCAGUAAUGUUAAGUAUAUUCACACUGUUGUAGAACUAAUCUCCACAACUUUUUCAUUUCGUGAAACCAAAACUAUACCCAUGAAACAACUCUUCCUCAUUCUCCCUACCCCCAGCCCGACAACUGUUCUUCUAUGUCCUGCCUCUACGAAUCUGAGUACUCUACAUACCUCAGUAAGUGGAAUCAUACAGUGUUUAUCUUUUUGUGACUGGCCUAUUUCAAUUAGCACAAGGUCCUCAAGGUUCAUCCAUAAAUGUAGCAUGUGUCAGAAUUUCCUUCCUUUUGAAGUCUGAAAAAUAUUCCAUUGCAUGUACAUACCACAUUUUGCUUAUCCUUUCAUCUCUUGAUGAACACUGGUUUGCUUCCACUUCUGGCUAUUACAAAUAAUGCUGCUAUGAACAAGGAUGGGCAAAUAUCUCCUUGAGCCCCAGCUUUCAAUUAUUUUGGAUAUCCACCCAGAAGUGGAAAUGAUAUAUCAUAUGGUAAUUCUAUUUUCAAUUUUCUGAAGAACCACCAUACUGUUUUCCAUAGCAGCUGUAUCAUUUUCAAUCCCACCAACAGUACACAAAGAUUACAAAUUCUCUACAUCCUUGCCAACACUUAUAGUUUAUUUUCACUAGUAGCCAUCCUAUCAGGUAUGAUGUGGUCUUAUAUUCUAAUUCUGUCCAUAUGUAUAUAUUCCUUGUAAUUAGAACUUCAUUAUUAUCUACUGAUAGUAUAUAAUGAAAAUAGAGAAAAUUUGAAACUAUCAUGUCCUACAAUAUGAGAUAUAUUUACAAGUGUAUCAUGGCUCCUCAACUAGAUUACAAAACCCUUAGGUUUACUCUGAUAGUCCAUUGGUAUAAGAUAAAUAAAAAAACUUCAAGAGUGUACCAAUCACUGAUUAAUAAAUGUCAAUUCCACCUGUAUUCUUUAUAUGCCCUCCCAGAUUAAAGAAGCCAUAAAGCAUUAAGAGCUCUAGCUUUAAGCUUAGACCUCUAAACUGAGACAAAUCUGAGACAGAUUCCAGCUCUGCUACUUAUUAGCUAUAAGACAAUUCAUUUAAGCACUCUAAGUCCAUUUUCUCACCUGUAAACUGGCAAUAAUACAGGUUGCUGUGAGAGUUAAAUAAUAUAUGUAAAGCAAUUAAGCUAGAUCAUAGUAAGUCCUCAAUAACUGUUAUCCAGUAAUAAAAAUAACAAUGAUCGUUAUUAUAUUAAUAAUGAAGUUUAUGACUACUGUGUAUUAUAAUGGAAGAUAGUUACUUAAAAAAAAGAGUGAAAAAAAUUAAUGAUGAGACCUAUUUUGACCAGUUUAAUUUAGAAGUAAAACAUCAAACAGUUCAGACUCAAAUGUUUUUCUCUAACAUAAAAUUCAGGGAGUUUAUUUACAGUAUGUUUUACUUACUGCUCUAUAUACUAACAAUAUUGUAUGAAUAUUGUAAGUGUUAACAAUCUUACUAUUCUCUAUUGACAUUUUGAGAGUGGAUGAGGCCCAGAGUUAUAUAUUAACUAUAAAAUUGAUCAUUUAAAACUUUACUAAGUAAUUUGACAUCUGGCAAAAUAAAAGAUAGACAUAGCCUUUGACCCAUCAAUUCCACUCCUAGGUUUAACCCUGAACAAAUUCUUGCACAUGUGCACAAGGUGACACAUACAUAGACAUUCACAACAAUACUGUUUGUAAUAGCAAAAAAGAUGAAACAACCUCAAAGUCCAUCCACAGGAGAACAGACAAUAAAUUGUGGUAUAAUCAUUCAAGAACACUAUACAGAUUGAAAAUGAAUGAAGUAUAACCAGACAUAUAUAAGAACAUGGAUCAACCUCCAAUAUAAUGUUGAAUAAUGCAAUAAAAUACAUACAGUAUCAUUCCAUUUCUAUAAAGUUGAAAAACAUGGAAAAUUAACUUCUCUAGAGAUACACACAUUUGUAGUAAACUAUAAAGAAAAGCACAUGAAAGAUAAACACUACAAUCAAGAUAGUGGUGGUGGGGAGUAAAUGAUUAGCAUAAGGGAGAGAGAGAUGAACAGCAAGUAGCGCAUGGAGACUAAAGUCUAUUGCCAAUACUCUACUUCUUAAGUGGGGUGGUACAUACAUUAGUGUUCAUUUUAUUAUUCAUUAUACUUUACAUAUUCCACAUGUAACUUCAUAUAAAGUUUCAUAAUA